GUCCGUGUUGACCACGCCCCCGGCCACUAUAAGAGGCCCGCCGUUUAUUUGACUACCGGUUUUUAUUUGAGGAAUUACGGUAACAUGAAACUCAUAUAAAAUUACAAGUAUAACAUUUAUAUCAUGAAGCAAAAUGAUUUAUCCAGGUGAUACUUUAUUGCUUGCAGCAUUAUUGCAGCAUCAGAUCUGAAAGUGCUGGAUCUGAAGAUGAUCUACUUACUGUGAAUGGUUUUUGUAUGACUGUGUAGAGAAAAUAAACGACUGAAACACUUCCCACAUGCAGUGCAGUGAUACGGUUUCUCUCCAGUGUGGAUCCUCUCAUGUCUUUUCAGGUGUCCUGACUGAUUGAA